rnacentral:rRNA from 1 species
UACGUAGGUGGCAAGCGUUGUCCGGAAUUAUUGGGCGUAAAGCGCGCGCAGGCGGUCCUUUAAGUCUGAUGUGAAAGCCCACGGCUCAACCGUGGAGGGUCAUUGGAAACUGGGGGACUUGAGUACAGAAGAGGAAAGCGGAAUUCCACGUGUAGCGGUGAAAUGCGUAGAGAUGUGGAGGAACACCAGUGGCGAAGGCGAGUCCCUGGACAACACCUGACACUGAGGCACGAAAGCUAGGGGAGCAAACAGG